GAAUCUCCUUCCCAGAAUCGCACAAAUUCAGUUCUGAGGCAAACAGCAGCCAGAGUUCUCCUGCCAGCUGACGUUUCAUACUCCGAGGCCACGCCCCCUCGCUGCAGGCUCGCAUUCUCCAGCUACAUCACCGAAGACGAAGAACAGUGGAGUCCAGUCUCCUGGUUCAAUUCGCAACUUCACCCGUCCUCAUUCAGGUGGGGGUGAGACCAUGAAAACACAGCCUGUCACAGUCCCAGAAUGCUGUGCAGCAGAUCCACCAGGAAGCUGACGCUGCAGUGGUUGAAGAUACCGGCCUGCACCUCCUGCCAGAACAUCCACACUGAGGGGCCUCUCCAGACGUCAUGAUAAAAUGUCUUUGUUGAGGACAUUGAUCCCUAGAAUCAAGUGUCCCUACUGCAGAGAAGAUGACAGAAUUUAACAAUUUGCAACUGAGAGGCCAUUCUGCUGACAAACGAUAUUCUCAAGUCUCCAUGUCUUUCAUAAGCAGAUUAAUAAAUGUUCCGUAUUGUUUAGAACUAAAAGAAGCAUGUGACGAGAGAGAAAGACAGAUCUGGUGUGGCUUAUUAACAUUAUUAACAUUUAUUGCAGUGUUUGUCAUUCUUUACAUUC